UGUCGCUCUCUCUUCAGAGGCAGCAGCAACGCAGAGGAGACGGCGCUGAUCUGGGACCUCAGGCACUAUCACCAUGAGCCUCCUCAACAAGCCCAAGAGUGAGAUGACCCCAGAGGAGCUGCAGAAGCGGGAGGAAGAAGAGUUCAACACAGGUCCGCUCUCUGUGCUCACGCAGUCAGUCAAGAACAACACCCAGGUGCUCAUCAACUGCCGCAACAACAAGAAGCUCCUGGGCCGCGUAAAGGCCUUCGACAGGCACUGCAACAUGGUGCUGGAGAAUGUGAAGGAGAUGUGGACCGAGGUCCCCAAGAGCGGCAAGGGCAAGAAGAAGUCCAAGCCAGUCAACAAGGACCGCUACAUCUCCAAGAUGUUCCUGCGCAGGGACUCGGUCAUCGUGGUCCUGCGGAACCCGCUCAUCGCCAGCAAGUAGGGGCCUCCUCUCCACCAUCAGAAUUCCCGCCCUCAUCCUGUGAAGACCUGCCCUUUGUAAUGGGAAUAAUAAAGUCCUGUGUUUUUUCUAAAAAAAAAAAAAAAAACAAACAGUGAGGGGUC